CUACAGGGGUAUCUAAUCCUGUUUGCUCCCCACGCUUUCGUGCCUCAGUGUCAAUGAUCGUGUAGUAAGCUGCCUUCGCAAUCGGUGUUCUAUGUCAUAUCUAAGCAUUUCACCGCUACAUGACAUAUUCCGCUUACCUCCACGAUAUUCAAGACAGAUAGUAUCAACGGCAGUUUCCAAGUUAAGCUUGGAGAUUUCACCACUGACUUACCUGUCCACCUACGCACCCUUUAAACCCAGUGAAUCCGGAUAACGCUUGCACCCUCCGUAUUACCGCGGCUGCUGGCAC
rnacentral:rRNA from 1 species